CCCCAUCCUGGGCUUUACUCUGCACUCUAGCUAGCUCAGUCUUUUCUCUGUUCCUUAUCUAUAGACUUUGUAUCUCCUAUCUCUAGAGAUUUAAACUGGAGAGCCUGAAAUUUUCCCUUCUCACCUUGUCUUCACAGAACCACAAGACACAGCUGAAACAUCGUCUUCAUGUAAAAUCUUUCCCAAUCCCUCAGAUUCUUUCUCAUCCACCCUUAUGUUGAACUACUUGAUGAAAAACGUUGCCCUUACAUACUGUCCUCAAAUAAGCUUCUGGUCUUCCUGA
rnacentral:lncRNA from 1 species